GACGAACGCUGGCGGCGUGCUUAACACAUGCAAGUCGAACGGAAAGGCCCUGCUUUUGUGGGGUGCUCGAGUGGCGAACGGGUGAGUAACACGUGAGUAACCUGCCCUUGACUUUGGGAUAACUUCAGGAAACUGGGGCUAAUACCGGAUAGGAUCUCCUGCUGCAUGGUGGGGGUUGGAAAGUUUCGGCGGUUGGGGAUGGACUCGCGGCUUAUCAGCUUGUUGGUGGGGUAGUGGCUUACCAAGGCUUUGACGGGUAGCCGGCCUGAGAGGGUGACCGGCCACAUUGGGACUGAGAUACGGACCAGACUCCUACGGGAGGCAGCAGUGGGGAAUAUUGCACAAUGGGCGGAAGCCUGAGGCAGCAACGCCGCGUGCGGGAUGACGGCCUUCGGGUUAUAAACCGCUUUCGCCUGUGACGAAGCGUGAGUGACGGUAAUGGGUAAAGAAGCACCGGCUAACUACGUG
rnacentral:rRNA from 1 species